AGUGAACGCUGGCGGUAGGCCUAACACAUGCAAGUCGAACGGCAGCACAGUAAGAGCUUGCUCUUACGGGUGGCGAGUGGCGGACGGGUGAGGAAUACAUCGGAAUCUACUUUUUCGUGGGGGAUAACGUAGGGAAACUUACGCUAAUACCGCAUACGACCUACGGGUGAAAGCAGGGGAUCUUCGGACCUUGCGCGAUUGAAUGAGCCGAUGUCGGAUUAGCUAGUUGGCGGGGUAAAGGCCCACCAAGGCGACGAUCCGUAGCUGGUCUGAGAGGAUGAUCAGCGACACUGGAACUGAGACACGGUCCAGACUCCUACGAGAGGCAGCAGUGGGGAAUAUUGGACAAUGGGCGCAAGCCUGAUCCAGCCAUACCGCGUCGGUGACGAAGGCCUUCGGGUUGUAAAGCCCUUUUGUUGGGAAAGAAAAGCAGCAGGUUAAUACCCAGCUGUUCUGACGGUACCCAAAGAAUAAGCACCGGCUAACUUCGUG
rnacentral:rRNA from 1 species